rnacentral:rRNA from 1 species
UACGGAGGAUGCGAGCGUUAUCCGGAUUUAUUGGGUUUAAAGGGUGCGUAGGCGGGCUUUUAAGUCAGCGGUAAAAAUUCGGGGUUCAACCCCGUCCGGCCGUUGAAACUGGGGGUCUUGAGUGGGCGAGAAGAAGGCGGAAUGCGUGGUGUAGCGGUGAAAUGCAUAGAUAUCACGCAGAACCCCGAUUGCGAAGGCAGCCUUCCGGCGCCCUACUGACGCUGAGGCACGAAAGUGCGGGGAUCGAACAGG